UGGGGAAUAUUGGACAAUGGGCGAAAGCCUGAUCCAGCAAUGCCGCGUGAGUGAUGAAGGCCUUAGGGUUGUAAAGCUCUUUUACCCGGGAUGAUAAUGACAGUACCGGGAGAAUAAGCCCCGGCUAACUACGUGCCAGCAGCCGCGGUAAUACGGAGGGGGCUAGCGUUAUUCGGAAUUACUGGGCGUAAAGCGCACGUAGGCGGCUUUGUAAGUCAGAGGUGAAAGCCUGGAGCUCAACUCCAGAACUGCCUUUGAGACUGCAUCGCUUGAAUCCAGGAGAGGUGAGUGGAAUUCCGAGUGUAGAGGUGAAAUUCGUAGAUAUUCGGAGGAACACCAGUGGCGAAGGCGACUACCUGGCCUGUUCUUGACGCUGAGGCGCGAAAGCUAGGGGAGCAAA
rnacentral:rRNA from 1 species